rnacentral:rRNA from 1 species
UCGGUGUGUAUAAAAAUAUUUAGAUUACUCAUAGAAGCAAUUAAGUUUGCGAAUGUACUGUGAGUACUAGAUGUAUUACUUUGAAUAAAAUAGAGUGUUUAAAGCAAAAUCUAACGAUUUAUGAAUAUAUUAGCAUGGGAUAAUGAAGAUAUGUCUCGUGGGUGCGUGAUAUGGAUAUUUUAAUUGGUUUUUAGUCCGGACGGGGUAUGUGAUAGGGUGUCUAAUUGGCAGGUGGUUUCGGCCAGUUGUUGGAUAGAGCAUUCUAUAAUGUAUUCAACAGUUCAAGGUCUAUAAUAAACUAUGCAUAUUGACCACGGGGGUUUGAGCGUCACAACAGUGGCAAUCAAAUAGACAUGGAAUAGAAACAAAUGGGGUGGUUUAUAUUUCAUAGCGAGGGGUGAAAUCCUAUGACCUAUGAAAGAUAAACAAAAGCGAAAGCAUUCCACAAAAAUGUUUUCAUUGAUCAAGAACGAAAGUUGGGGGAUCGAAGACGAUCAGAUACCGUCGUA